rnacentral:rRNA from 1 species
AACGAACGCUGGCGGCAUGCCUAACACAUGCAAGUCGAACGAGACCUUCGGGUCUAGUGGCGCACGGGUGCGUAACGCGUGGGAAUCUGCCCUUGGGUUCGGGAUAACAGUUGGAAGCGACUGCUAAUACCGGAUGACGUCUUCGGACUAAAGAUUUAACGCCCAGGGAUGAGUCCGCGUCGGAUUAGCUAGUUGGUAGGGUAAAAGCCUACCAAGGCGACGAUCCGUAGCUGGUCUGAGAGGAUGAUCAGCUACACUGGGCCUGAGACACGGUCCAGACUCCUGCGGGAGGAAGCAGUGUGGAAUAUUGGAUAAUGGGGGAAAGCCUGAUCCAGCAAUGCCACGUGAGUGAUGAAGGCCUUAGGGUUGUAAAGCUCUUUUGCCCGGGAUGAUAAUGACAGUACCGGGAGAAUAAGCCCCGGCUAACUCCGUGCCAGCCGCCGCCGUAA